CACUCAGCCUGAUUUUCUUGAAGUAUGAAGGGACAGGAUACAAACAAACAUAGAGGCAAACAGACCCGCAGAGACUAACGUUGGAAUAUAAAAUUUAUUUUACUAAAAUUGUUAGAGAAGGAAUUCCAAGGUUGAGGAUAAAUCCGUUGCAUGUGGUUAGAACAACUUAGGGUUCUGUACAAAUGGAGAAAUAAUUUUUCUCUUUUGAUACGAUAUGAAGAAACUAAUCUUUUUGUCUAUUGCGAAGGCAGAGAUAUUGUUAAUUUUGGGUUUGAUGGCAAAAGAUAUUACUAGUUACUAACAGCAGAGAAGAUCCGUAGCCAUAGGGAUUGAUCGGAGAAUUGGUUUAAAAAGAAGAAGAGCAAGUUGUAUCACUGAGUUGGCAACCGAGCUGAAAAAAUGGGGGGCAGGCAAGUUUGGGUGAAAAUAAGUAUGGGUUCAUGGAUUAGGUACUUGUAGACCGACCCGUUACUCCGUCUUCUUCACCCGCGACCAACCCGAAAUCUCUGUUAGUUUACUCUGUUUGUUUGUUUUUUUGUGAAAUUCUUCACCCGAGUUCUGCAACUGGAAUUCUACCUUCGGGUUUUUUUACUAAUUCAAUGGAUAUAAUCUGAUUAUUUUUCAAGCCACAAAUCGAUAGGUUGUAGUGUGAAAUCUUCAGUUAGAUGAAAUUUAUGAAAUCAGUGGAUGUUUUUUUUUUCGGAUUAUUUGAAGAAGGAAUGAUCAAUUAUGAUCGAUUUAGUGGAGAUUGUUGAGAAGUUUGAACAUGUAAUUUGUUUGUUGGACUGUAUUCGAUCAAAAUUUCUGAUCAAUCUGUUUGAUUAUCUCAAAUUUAAUCUUAAUUUGUGAAUCAAAAAUUCAAUUUCA